GGUGGUAGUGCACAUAGAACCAGUUCCAGACCAGCCACCUAAAGAAGUUCCUGGUUCUAGUCGAUAUCUUGUGCUCAAAGAAACAGAAGUGGCCUUUAUUACACGGCAGCAGCUCCACUUUGUAGACCAGGAGUCUCCCGACAGUGAGCUCACAUACACAGUUACUACUCCACCUUUUUUCACUGGUCAUCACAGCAGUCCAGACGCAGGGAGGUUAUUUCUUGUUGACAGCAUACCCAAAUUUACCAAGGACUCCAGUGCACCAGUUUUGAGGCUCUUUACACAACAUGCAGUGAACUUCAUGAAAGUAGCCUACAUGCCUCCAGUCAUAGACAUUGGUCCUAACCCUAAAUAUAUCCAGUUUGUUCUGUCUGUAACCAAUCAUCUGGGUAAAACAGUCACUGGGAUCUGCUUUAACAUCACUAUAGUCCCAGUGGACAACCAGCCACCACAAGUCAUCACCAACUCUUUGACUGUAAACGAAGGAGGGGAAUGCUUGCUGAGC